GACGAACGCUGGCGGCGUGCUUAACACAUGCAAGUCGAACGGAAAGGCCUCUUUCGGGGGGUACUCGAGUGGCGAACGGGUGAGUAACACGUGAAUAACCUGCCCUUGACUUUGGGAUAACUUCAGGAAACUGGGGCUAAUACCGGAUAGGAGCUCCUGCUGCAUGGUGGGGGUUGGAAAGUUUCGGCGGUUGGGGAUGGACUCGCGGCUUAUCAGCUUGUUGGUGGGGUAGUGGCUUACCAAGGCUUUGACGGGUAGCCGGCCUGAGAGGGUGACCGGCCACAUUGGGACUGAGAUACGGCCCAGACUCCGACGGGAGGCAGCAGUGGGGAAUAUUGCACAAUGGGUGGAAGCCUGAUGCAGCAACGCCGUGUGCGGGAUGACGGCCUUCGGGUUGUAAACCGCUUUCGCUCAUGACGAAGCUUUGUGUGACGGUAGUGGGUAAAGAGGCACCGGCUAACUACGUG
rnacentral:rRNA from 1 species